rnacentral:misc_RNA from 1 species
CUGCAUCAUGCCAGGUGCAGGGCCACCAAUGCCACGGACAGGGCCCGCGAGGCCAGGCUGGGCCUGAAUGAGAGGAGCGGUGGGAAUCCCACGGCCCGCUGCGCGGCCAAUGCCAGGACCAGUAACGGCAGUUGCAGAAACAGCCUUAGCCCGAGACUCUUCAGGAGGAGGAGGGCCCUCAACGGUCAUGGAGAUAACCUCUUCACCACGGAGGAGAACAAGGCCAAGAGUGCGGCGGUCCUCUCGCUCCUCGUUGUUCUUCUUGCCCUUGGCUGGAGGGAGCUUGCGAAACUCCUCGCAGUCUCCGAGGACGAGAUUCAUGUGGCGGUCAAAGGCCAUGAACUUUCCGACCAGCUGGCGACCGUCCUGGAUGGUAACCCGCAUCCGAUAGUUGAUGUAUUGGAGCAUCUUGGAGCUCUUGGACAUCGACAUUUUGCCAAUCUAGGGUUUUUCCGGUUUCUCUGAUGUGUGAAUUUUUCCGUAUCUAGUCCCGAAUCUGGACUCUGGACCUGGAGAAGGAAGAGGUGGAUUGCGGUUAGGGAUGAUAGGGAAAUUAGCGUGGGUUUUAG